rnacentral:rRNA from 1 species
AUUGAACGCUGGCGGCAGGCUUAACACAUGCAAGUCGAACGAGUGGCGGACGGGUGAGUAAUGCUUGGGAAUAUAGCUUAUGGAGGGGGAUAAAUACGGGAAACUGUAGCUAAUACCGCGUACCAUAGGAUGAGCCCAAGUGGGAUUAGGUAGGUGGUUAGGUAAAGGCUCACCAAGCCGACGAUUUCUCGCUGGUCUGAGAGGAUGACCAGCCACACUGGGACUGGGCCACGGCCCAGACUCCGACGGGAGGCAGCAGUGGGGAAUAUUGCGCAAUGGGGGCAACCUGACUCAGCCAUGCCGCGUGAAUGAAGAAGGCCUUCUGGUUGUAAAGUUCUUUCGGUAGCGAGGCGUUAACUACAGAAGAAGCACCGGCUAACUCCGUGCCAGCAGCCGCGGUAAUUC